GCCCGCUCAAGAAACUUAAAGGAAUUGACGGGGCCCGCACAAGCGGUGGAGUAUGUGGUUUAAUUCGAUGCAACGCGAAGAACCUUACCUGGUCUUGACAUCCCGGAGACCCUUAGGAAACUAGGGGGUGCUUCCAUCUGGAAGAAUCUGGAGACAGGUGCUGCAUGGCUGUCGUCAGCUCGUGUCGUGAGAUGUUGGGUUAAGUCCCGCAACGAGCGCAACCCUUGCCUUUAGUUGCCAGCAGUUCGGCUGGGCACUCUAAAGGGACUGCCGGUGUUAAACCGGAGGAAGGUGGGGAUGACGUCAAGUCCUCAUGGCCUUUAUGACCAGGGCUACACACGUACUACAAUGGCCGAUACAAAGGGCAGCGACACUGCGAGGUGAAGCCAAUCCCGUAAAAUCGGUCUCAGUCCGGAUUGGAGUCUGCAACUCGACUCCAUGAAGUUGGAAUCGCUAGUAAUCGUGGAUCAGCAUGCCACGGUGAAUACGUUCCCGGGCCUU
rnacentral:rRNA from 1 species